GCCAGUGUGGCAUAGUGGUUUUGAGUGUUGGACUAUGACUCUGGAAACCAGGGUUAAAUCCCUACUCUGCCA